rnacentral:rRNA from 1 species
CGGUGGAGCAUGUGGUUAAUUCGACGCAACGCGAAGAACCUUACCAGGGCUUGACAUCCCCUGACCGCGUAUGAAAGUACGUUUUCACCCUCGGGUGACAGGGAGACAGGUGGUGCAUGGUUGUCGUCAGCUCGUGUCGUGAGAUGUUGGGUUAAGUCCCGCAACGAGCGCAACCCCUAUGUUUAGUUGCUAACAGGUAAUGCUGAGCACUCUAGACAGACUGCCGGUGACAAACCGGAGGAAGGUGGGAUGACGUCAAAUCAUCAUGCCCCUUAUGUCUUGGGCUACACACGUAAUACAAUGGCCAGUACAGACGGACGCGAAGCCGUGAGGUGAAGCAAAUCCGAGAAAGCUGGUCUCAGUUCGGAUUGUUCUCUGCAACUCGAGAACAUGAAGUCGGAAUCGCUAGUAAUCGCAGGUCAGCAUACUGCGGUGAAUACGUUCCCGGGCCUU